rnacentral:rRNA from 1 species
CCUACGGGUGGCUGCAGUUGGGAAUAUUGCACAAUGGGCGCAAGCCUGAUGCAGCCAUGCCGCGUGUGUGAAGAAGGCCUUCGGGUUGUAAAGCACUUUCAGCGGGGAGGAAGGCGGUGAGGUUAAUAACCUCAUCGAUUGACGUUACCCGCAGAAGAAGCACCGGCUAACUCCGUGCCAGCAGCCGCGGUAAUACGGAGGGUGCAAGCGUUAAUCGGAAUUACUGGGCGUAAAGCGCACGCAGGCGGUCUGUCAAGUCGGAUGUGAAAUCCCCGGGCUCAACCUGGGAACUGCAUUCGAAACUGGCAGGCUAGAGUCUUGUAGAGGGGGGUAGAAUUCCUGGUGUAGCGGUGAAAUGCGUAGAGAUCUGGAGGAAUACCGGUGGCGAAGGCGGCCCCCUGGACAAAGACUGACGCUCAGGUGCGAAAGCGUGGGGAGCAAACAGGAUUAGAUACCCGUGUAGUC